rnacentral:rRNA from 1 species
UACGUAGGCAGCAAGCGUUGUUCGGAGUUACUGGGCGUAAAGGGUGCGUAGGCGGCUUUUUAAGUUUGGGGUGAAAUCUCCCGGCUCAACUGGGAGGGUGCGCCGAAUACUGAGAGGCUAGAGUGUGGGAGAGGAAAGUGGAAUUCCUGGUGUAGCGGUGAAAUGCGCAGAUAUCAGGAAGAACACCCGUGGCGAAGGCGGCUCUCUGGAACGCAACUGACGCUGAGACGCGAAAGCGUGGGGAGCAAACAGG